AUCGAACGCUGGCGGCAUGCCUUACACAUGCAAGUCGAACGGCAGCGGACCUUCGGGUGCCGGCGAGUGGCGAACGGGUGAGUAAUGCAUCGGAACGUACCUUUCAGUGGGGGAUAACGUAGCGAAAGUUACGCUAAUACCGCAUAUUCUGUGAGCAGGAAAGCAGGGGAUCGCAAGACCUUGCGCUGAUUGAGCGGCCGAUAUCAGAUUAGCUAGUUGGUGAGGUAAAGGCUCACCAAGGAGACGAUCUGUAGCGGGUCUGAGAGGAUGAUCCGCCACACUGGAACGGAGACACGGUCCAGACUCCUACGGGAGGCAGCAGUGGGGAAUUUUGGACAAUUGGGGCAGCCCAGAUCCAGCCAUGCCGCGUGAGUGAAGAAGGCCUUCGGGUUGUAAAGCUCUUUCGGCCGGGAAGAAAUCGUAUCAGCUAAUACCUGGUGCGGAUGACGGUACCGGCAUAAGAAGCACCGGCUAACUACGUGCCAGCCGCCGCCGUAAUAC
rnacentral:rRNA from 1 species